rnacentral:lncRNA from 1 species
UACACGAUUGUCGACAUGCCUGAAAAAUCUGACAUUCUUUCUAAUGCAGAGCAGUCCUUCAUCUCCAAGAUACCCAAACUUUUUGGUAAAUCUGUGAUCUCGACAAGGUUUCUGCAACUAUCCAAGCGUAGUUCAAUAAGCAUGGACAGGUCACCGAGGCUUGGAAGGCUCCGAAAAUUAUUGUUGCCUAGAAAUAAGUACUCUAAACAAGGUAGACUACUCCCAAUAUCAUUAGGCACUUCCAUUAAAUUGCAGUGUCUCAAAGAUAACUCUGUUAAAGAGCCUAAGCCUCGUAAGGAAGGUAGCUGCAAAGGACACUUCAAGUAACUCAAAGAUAGGCACUCGAGCUUCUCCAGUCGUACGAUGGAAGGUGGUACUUUUUUUAUGGCCGUCCCAUCAGCAAAAAGAGUGACCAAUGAUGCCAUUUUUCCCAAGUGCUCAGACAAGCUUCGGAAUCUUGAACAACCAUCGAGAACAAGAGUUUUGACAGAUUUCGACUUGUAGAAAUUCCUCGGGAGAGCCUUAAGCGUUUCGCAGUCUUUCAAAUUCACCAACACAAGACUCUUGAGAUCUCCGAUGGACUUGUGAACUUUAGCCAACCUCUUACAGUCUUUGAGUAUCAAUUUCUCAAGAUUUGGGAAUUUUGAAAAGUCUGGCGAUUGUGUUAAAUCGUGGGAGUGGCUGAGAUUCAGAAUCUUCAACUUACCAAGCAACUGUUACGAAAAAUCAAAUUUAAAUAAAAAAUUUAAAUCCAAAAAGAAGAUACAGAGAGCAUAAAAAUAAUUCAUAAUUUUGUUCAGGUUACGCAUUGUACUUACCCCAGAAUACUCACAAAGAACUUGUUUGAGGCUGCUGUACCGCAUGUCGAUAGCGACUAUGUUUGGUUGACAUAGUUCUAUAGGUAUGAACUCCAAUGGGAAUCCAUGCCAGCACAACCAUCUUAAUUUUUUGGAAAGACAUUGGUAUCCCCCAGCAAGCCGAACGUAGUUUAGUUGGAGCAAUCUCAGUCCCUUCAUAUUUCUAAAUGCCUCAGUACUGAAACUAGUCUCUUCAAGGCUCAGCAUGUUCAAAGCCAGACCACCAAUUUUUUCAGUUCCCUGCUAUCCGAAAAACAGACUCUAAAUAAGAGAAGGCUUUGCAUGAAAAAAAGUUCGAUUACUUAUACUUCUCUUUCAUUACGUACACGUUUAACAUAAAGUUCAAUUGGGAAAGUACUUACAGAUUUGUCUAUCAACACAGCAUUUACAUCUUCAGGAUGCCACAAUCUACUUCGUUCUCCAGCGAAAUCAGGAUUUUCUGCAUGCACGAUAUCUCUGCCCAUAUCGCGAAGCAAAUCAUGCAUCAUCAUCUUGUUUUUGCCAUUAAUAGUUACAAGGCACCGAUCAAGGAGGACCUUGAUUCCUGCUGUUGCAUAAAGGCCACAACCAUCCAAGAUUUGUAUGACAUCAUUCUUGUCCAUUCCGAUAAAAAAACAAGCUAUAUCAAGGAAUAUCCCCCUCUCGUAAUCAUCAUUUAGCCCGUCGUAGCUUAUUUUCAGCUGUGCCUGAAUUUUUCCAGGAGGAAUUAUUUUCAAUUUAUCCAAUAUACUUUUCCAUUCUACUACACUUCCUUCGAAAAGAGUAGAUCCUAAAAUUUGAAGAGCCAACGGCAGUCCUCCACAGUAAUUGACAACUUCUUUUGCAAGCUCGAGAUAUUUACUAGGACAACAACUACUUCUGAAAGCAUGCCAACUUAGGAGCUCAAGAGCUUCUUUUCGAUCCAUUCUUUUUGCCGGAAAUAUCAUAUCAACUGCUAAUUGUUUCAGUAUAUGUUUGUUUCUUGUUGUGAUGAUAAUUCUGCUCCCCGGGCCAAAAGAGUGGCGAUUUCCAGCUAAUUCGUGUAGCUGCUUCACAUCGUCUACAUCAUCAAAUAUGACAAGUACCUUUAAGCAUUGAAAUCUUUCCCCUACCAAGGCGGUCCCUGCAGCAACACUGCUUACCUUUGUCUUGGUCGUUUGCAAGAUAUCAAAAAGAAGUUGUUUUUGCAAUUUUUCUAGUUUCUUUUCCCUCACUUUUUCAAGGAAACUUUUACCUUCAAACAUUUCAUAAAAUUUGUUAUAAAUGGCUUUUGCAAUCGUUGUUUUACCUAUUCCACCCAUACCUGUAAUUCCAAUCACGCGAACAUCAUCCGAACAUCCGAUGCCUAAACAUUUACUGAUAUCUAGCACUCGAGAAUCUAUUCCGACUGGGUAGGGCGCUACGUCUAAAUAUUUGUUGUUCAGCUUCGUAGUGACUUCAUUAGUAAUCAUCCUGAUAAACUUUGCUUCAUGCCUGGCAUUAGUGAAGUUGAGAAGCAAAACGAAGAUUGUUAUACAACUACAAGACGAAAUUGAACUAAUACACAAAAUUAUUUAUCAUGAUUAGAGAUUUUAAUUAAGACAAUUUUCUUUGAGGUGUUGUGCUUAAACUUAGCAGACAUCAAUUAAACUUAAAAUUAAAUAAGAAACACAAACAAACAAAACCAACAUCCCCACCGCAGGCAUUCGCCGGCGGCUUCCCAGCUGUGACUAGUGUAGCCUUAACAGUUUAAGCUUUAUUGUAUGAUUUUAUUAAAAGAGGUCUAAGAAAUCGCAUGCUUCCAAAUUAAUAAGCAAAGGUACGUUAAAGCCUUAAUUCAUAAGAAAAGAAAUUAGUAAGUACCCGUCCAAAGUGUUUCUGAGAUCCCAGCCAGACAAAUUCGAAGCUUCAUUAAGAGCGGUUCUCCACCUCUCUAACUUCCACCUCUCUACCUUCUUUUCAUCUGUAUGUUUCAGAAACGAUUGUGCAAAACUACCAUUCUGUUUCCUGACAUGGGAAGGAUCAACGUCAUAGAAUAUUGGCAAAACUAAUUGCCCUAGCGUUCUUCUACAUUCCAUGAUCUUAACCAGCUCCUCGAGACACCAACUGGAGUCCGCGUACCAUUUUGAGAAGACGAUGAUAGAGAUCCUAGAACCCUGGAUUGCCCGCACAAGUUCGGUAGUUAUAUCUUCUCCUCUUCUUAGUUCUUCGUCGUCAAUAAAGGCGUUGAUUCCGGCCUUUGUCAAUGCUUCGUGGAGGUGGCCCGUGAAGUUUUUACGUGUGUCUUCGCCUCUGAAGCUUAUGAACACUUCGUAAAGCGAGCCUUUUGAGGAGGACGAUGACGAGGAGGCAGAGGAGAACGAUGAGGAUGAGGAUGAGGGCAAGGAGGUGGAGGAGGCAGAGGAGGAAGAUGAGGAUGAGGGUGAGGGCGAGGAGGCGGAGAAGGACGAUGAGGAUGAGGGCAAGGAGGAGGACGAGGACGAGGCUUUAUCGGGGAUGGAGAUAUUCAUUUGGCGAAAGACGAGGCCGAGGGAGCAGAGGAGGAAGAUGAGGACAUCAAAGACAAGACUGGAAUUGCGAGCCACAAAGUGGUAGGGCACUAACACCAGCACCAGAGUUAACAACUUCCCUAAGCUCAACCAAGAUAUAUCGCGGAAUAUCUCCCUCUCGUAGUCAUCAUUCAACCCUUUGUAACUUAUUUUCAGCUGUUCCUGAAUGUUAUCAAGAGGAAUUUCUUUCAAUUUAUCCAAUGUACUUUUCCAAUCUCCUAUGCUUCGGUUGAACAGGUUAGAACCUAAAACUUGAAGAGCCAAUGGCACUCCUCCACAGUAAUUGACAACUUCUCUUGCAAGCUCAAGAUAUUGACUAGGACAACAACUACUUCUGAAAGCAUGCCAAUUUAGGAGCUCAAGAGCUUCUUCUCGUUUCAUUUCUAUCGCCGGAUAUACCAUAUCAACUGCAAAUUCUUUUAACACAUGUUCGUUUCUUGUUGUGAUGAUAAUUCUGCUCCCCGAGCCAAAAGAAUGGCGAUUUCUAACUAAUUCCUGUAGCUGCUUCACAUCGUCUACAUCAUCAAAUAUGAAAAGUACCUUUAAGCGUCGAAAUCUUUCCCCUACCAAGGCGGUCCCUGCAGCAACACUGCUUACUUUUGUCUUGGUGGUUUGCAAGAUAUCAAAAAGAAGUUGUUUUUGCAAUUUUUCUAGUUUCUUUUCCCUCACUUUUUCAAGGAAACUUUUACCUCGAAACUUGUCAGAAAAUUGAUUAUAAAUGGCUUUAGCAAGCGUUGUUUUACCUAUUCCACCCAUGCCCAAAAUUCCAAUCACCCGAACAUCAUCUGAAUCUCCGAUGCAUAAAUAAUUACUAAUAUCUUGCACUCGAGAAUCUAUUCCGACUUGGUAGGGCGCUACGUCUAAGUAUGUGUUGUUCAGCUUCCUAGUGACUUCCUCAGUAAUCAUCCUGAUAAACUUGGCUUCAUGCCUGGCAUUAGUCAAGUUGAGAAGCAAAACGAAGAUUAUUAUACAACUACAAGACGAAAUUGAACUAAUACACAAAAUUACUUAUUAUGACUAGAGAUUUUAUUUAAGACAAUCUUCUUUGAGGUGUUGUGUUUAAACUUAGCAAACAUCAAUUAAAAAUUCAAAUUAGAAACACAAACAAACAAAACCAGCAUCUCUUCCCUCUGCAGCCAUUCGACGGCGGCUCUCCUGCUGUGUUAGUGUAAGCUUAACAGUUGAAGCUUUAUUGUAUGAUUUUAUUAAAAGAGGUUUAAGAAAUCUCAUGCUUCCAAAUUAAUAAGAAAAGGCACGUUAAAGCCUAAAUUCAUAAGAGAAGAAAUUAGUAAGUACCCGCCCAAAGUGUUUUGGAGAUCCCAGCCAGACAAAUUCGAAGCUUCAGUAAGAGCAGUUCUCCACCUCUCUUCCUUCCAUCUCGCUACCUUCUUUUCAUCUAUAUGUUUCAGAAACAAUUGUCCAAAACUGUCAAUCUGCUUCCUGACAUGCGAAGGAUCAAUGUCAUAGAAUGCCGGCAAAACUAAUUGCCCCAGCGUUCUUCUACACUCCAUGAUCUUAACCAGCUCCUCGAGGCACCAGCUGGAGUUCGCAUAUUGUCUAGAGAAGACGAUGAUAGAGAUCUUGGAACCUUGGAUUGCCCGCUCAAAUGCGGUUGUUAAUUCUUCUCCCCUUUUUAGUUCUUCGUCGUCAAUAAAAGCAUUGAUUCCAGCCUUUGUUAAUGCUUCAUAGAGGUGGCCCGUGAAGUUUUUACGUGUGUCUUCGCCUCUGAAGCUUAUGAACACGUCGUAGAGCGAACCUUUUGAGAAGGAGGACGAGGACAAGGAGGCGGAGGUGGACGAUGAGGAUGAGGAUCCGGGUGAGGAGGAGGAGGACGACGAGGCUUUAUUGGGGACUGAGGCAUUCACUUGGUGAAAGACGAGGCCGAGGGAGCAGAGGAGGAAGAUGAGGACAUCAAAGACAAGACCGGAAUUGCGAGCCGCAAAGUGGUAGGACACCAACACCAGCACCAAAGUUAACAGCUUCCCUAAGCUCGACCAGGUAUCCAUUUCCUUCAUUUUCUUUAGGCAAAUUGAAGGUUUUUGGAGAGGAUCCUCUCCGGACCCAAACCCACCGGAGCCUCCGGAUCUUCCUCCUUCUUCCUUCUUCUCUGCAGAUUUCCUUCUUCCUUCUUCUCUGCAGAUUUGGUUCUGCUUCUUCUUCAAUUCUUCUUCUUCAAUUAUGCAUCUUCUUCUUCACUUCCUUCUUCCUUCUUUGUUUGUGUAUCGGAAAACUUUCUUCUUCAAUUAUGCAUCUUCUGCAUCUUCUCCGACAACCAGCUCCGAGGAAGUCACGACGCCGGCUUCGGGAAAGCACGACGCCGGCUCCGGGAAAGCCCAAGAUGCCGACGAAGACGGAUCCGGAUGCUCCGGUGGGUUUGGGUCCGGAGAGGAUCCUCUCCCAAGGUUUUUGGCGAUAUUGAUUUUCUUUCCGUUCUGCCGGAACUACUUUCUUCUUCUUAUGAUUAAUAAACCCGUCAGCCCAUGAGGCUGGGCCCCAUUUCCCUCAGCCUUUUCCUUUUUCCUUUACUUUUUUCUUCUUUUUUGGCGAUUUUCCUUCACUUUUGGUCAAUCAUGUGCGUUUUCAUUGGACGGAGGACUAUGCAUGUUGGGUGAUCGCCAAACGGCUGGAAAAAAUUUAUAACCAAGCGGACAUUUUUUUUUUCUCUGAUGUUCAACUGCAAGCAGAAAUUCUGUUAGUUUAAAGGAUUUAAGGAUUAAGUGCAUUUUUUAAAGAGGAUUAGCUUGGAAGGGAUAACUAAGCAUAUUUAAAAGAUGAGUUAAAAUGUCCACAUCAGCAAUAACAGUAAAAAAAUACAGCAUUAGUGUCAGCAACUUCAAUUUUUUUUUAACAAACGAUAUUAUCAGGAAUGUCUCACAAUAAGCUAAUAAUAAUGUGGUUCAAACUUUUAUUCUUACUUUUUGUUCUAAAUACUUAUUAAAAUCAUGAAAAAUAAAUAAUAUAAUAAAAAGUGGUUUAAAUUUGACAUAUCAGAUGAAGAAUAAAAUUUUAAAAAAAAAUCAAAGUGCCACAUAAGCUUUCAAAUUUAAAAUCUACUUUGGAAAUGAACAAAUCAGUUGUUUUUUUUAUGGAUUUCUUUAUAGAUAAUGUUGGCGGUAUUAGAAAAUUUUAUUAACAUGAAAAAAAAUAUACUUAAUCAAUGGACAUAAACCUUAACCCUUAAUUUGGUCCAAGAUAUUAUUAGAGAAUUCCCACUUGAUUUGGUCCCAUAUAAUUUUAUUUUCCCUGCUAGCAAGAUUAUGAAUUCCAACUAUCUUUAGUUUUGUUGGAAUAAUUUCCCUAGCCAUAAUACAAAAUUAAGAAUACCAACUUUGCUUUUGUUUUUUUCGGCUAAAACAAUAAAAAAUAAAUAAAAAAAUCAAGAUCAAAGAAAAUGAUAGGAAAGAGCAACAGUGACACACCCCGUCCCGAAGGAGGGCAUGCUGGCCGUCACGUGAGAGUGACGUAACCAUUUGCACAGUACGGAAGCUUUAAUUAUACAAUUUAUAAGUUGAUACACCCGAAGGUGAGUCCUAAUUUUGUCCAAUCUGUCAGAACCCCGCUGUAUUCCUCGUAGUCACCACACCUUUGUGAUUCCUGAACCUGGAGGGGCGCAAAACCAAAAUUGAGUGGGUCAGUAAAACAAUUCUUUUCCAAAUCCAAACAUUUCUCAAAACGUUGUAACCCCUCUCCGUAAAACCUGUAUACUUUCCCAGAAAUGUAAAAUAUAAAUAUACAUAUAUAUUCUCAAAACUUCAUUUUUACUAUCUCAACAUUAUCUCUUUAUCAAUCAUGCCAUGCCAUGUCAUCUCAACAUUUCUCAUAUUAAUUAUGCCAUGCCACAUCAUCUCAACAGUAAUAAGGUAUGAAUGCAUCAACAUAAUCAUAUCAGGUGCAAGAAAGUAAUCAACCGUAGGCCCUCUAAUAGCCCUAUACGGUUGAACCUAGAGCUCAAAAUCUAUCAUUAUCACUCUACCGGAGUCACCUCUGUGACCCGUCCGGCCUUCUGCACACAAGUUACGCUCUAGUGCUUCUCAUAAAUCAUCUGUGCACAUAAUCUAAGGUCACCCACCAGUCGGAAUCUCACUAACACUCUCGCGACUGGUCUGUCGUACCCACUCCGCGUGGACUGUACGACUAGCAUCUACUUGGAUCCAAGGCGAGCGUGCGAUGCGGUGAAUACUAUAAGCACUAAACCAUGGUGCAGGAUUUGAGCUCAAUAUAUAUCAUCAUCAUCAUAACAGUAAUUAAAUACUCAUCUGUGCGUCCACCGCACCAUUUCAUACAUAUGCAUCAUAAAUCAAUUCUUACAUGUGCGUCCACCGCACCAAUUCAUACAUAUGCAUCAUAAAUCAAUUCUUACCUGUGCGUCCACCGCACCAAUUCAUACAUAUGCAUCAUAUAUUAAUUCAUGCAUGGCAUUUCAACUCACAUUUUUUAUAUUACUUUUCAUAUCAAUUCUAUGCAUGGUAUUUCACUUCCCGUUUUUCCACAUAACUCAUAUGCAUUUCAUUUUAAACAUAAUUUCAUGCAUUUUCAAUUUCUGGGAAAACGUUAAGUAUAUAUAUAUAUACGGAAAACAAAACUGCCCACUCACCUGGAGUUCGUUCCAACAACUCCCUAGCACCACACAUCAAAGGCGUCACGACGAUCGCCGCCUAGAAAUAGUAAUCAAAUCCAACCUCAGAAUUCAUAUCGAUAGAAUAUAUAUAACUUAUAUAAAUACGUCACUACGUAGUUCGAUCCGGAAGAUCUGCCACUCAGAUUUUAAAAUCCAUAACUUCCAGAGGUCCACAAUAUAUCUCUAGGAUAACAUCCUAAAAUUUCAUUACCAUCCAACGGUCGGAUCUCCGUCAAUUUCCAAAAACUAAGUGACGGUUAACAUUUUAUAUUAUGGACUUACAAUUCCAAUUCCGGAAGAUCCGUAACUCGGAUUUCCCAAUCCGUAAGUUCCAAUAAUCCUCAAAUAUUACGUAUUACAACGUAUCAAAGUUUGGUGACGAUCCAACGGUCGGAUCAUCAAUUCACAUUUUCACCUAAAUGUGAAAACUAUAAAACGUUAUUUGAACACCUAACCAACAAUCCUCAAUAACUUUCUCAUACGGUGUUCAAUUUAGGUAUAUGAAUAUACCACAGUGAUCUACUCGACGUCACGGACGUCGACAUAUUUUUAAAAUAAUUUUAUUUUUAUUUUAUUUUUAUUUUUACUGUAGCACCUUCUUCCUCCUUGGGUCGCCGGACUGGUUUUUCCGGCGGCCGUUUUCCGGGCAGUUUUUCAAAUUGCCAUAACUUUGUCAUUUCUCAACGAAAUCAAGUGAUUCAAAAACAAAAGUUGUAGCCCUUGAAGAGACAAAGAGAAUGGUACCUUGCACAACACCUAUUUCGCCGUGGUUUGGCCGGAAACUGCCUCGAAAGCCUCGGAGGUCGCCGGAAACUGGGUAUUUUUCAAAUGAGUAUAACUUCUUCAAUACUCAACGAAAUUGAGUGAAACAAAAAGGAAAGGUGUAGUAAUUGACGAGACGAAGAGAUUGAUACCUACUUCGACUCCUAACUCGCCGGGGAUUCGCCGGAAAACGCCUCGAAAGCUCCGGCCAAACUUUGAACUUGUCGAUCUCCGUGUUCUUACGUCCAAAAACUUCCAACGAAAGCACUCCGAGCUUCCUUGGGACCUCACUAAGCUUGCUAUGAUCUUAUUUUGGCCUAAAACACAACCACUUCAAAGAUCAUGAACAGUACACAUUCACGGGGUCUUUAGAACUAGGGUUUUUCGAAAUGAAACUUACCUGAAAAUGGUACCUACGUGAUCGUGAAGUCCUCAGGGUUGCAAUGGUAGUCUUAACUUGGACGUUGGUAUAGGUUUUAGGUGGUUUUGGUGGUUGCCCGUGCGUUCGAGAAGAAGAGAGAGAAUGAGAGUUUCUGAGGAAGAGAGAGAGUAUGAAGGACAGUAUACGGGAAAUGGGGAGGGUUUUGAGGUGUGGGGAUCUCACAUGUCCAAACCAAUCCCAAUUUCAUAAAAUUCCAUCAUAAAAUUUAAGUCUAAGUCUCCACUCCAAUUACCAAAUUUUUUUGGAGCUUAGAUAUAACGAACGUGAAAAUUAUACCUUAGUCACGUAUUAGGGACAUUUCCGUAAUUUCAUGUCCUCGGAAUUAAAAAUUCCGGCACGGGCUGUGACAAACAGCUUGCAUAUGUAUAGUUUAUAUGACAGUGAAUCAUAUGCUUUUGCUUAUAUCUUUAUUUUAUUUUUAUGAGUUCGUGUUUGUACCAAGAUAGCUGUCAAUUUAAGAUUAGUAUUGAAUGGCUCUAUAAUAAACAGCCCAACUUUCCAAGAUCCGGAAUCAAGUGGGUCUAAAGAAUUGCAUAGCUUGGGUUAUCAUCUUGAGGACCCAUAUCAUCUGGAUCAGACCAAGGCCAACGCCCACCGUACAUAUUGAGCCUAUGCCACUUUUCGGCUGGAGAAUGGAGUUCAAACACUUGGAUUAACAAACCACCAACAUCUGCACAUAUAGGCCGGGGCAUAUUUUGUAUAGCCCAUCGAAAAAAAAGAGAUUGUAACUAUAUGAGAUUUCAGGUUGUGAUUAACACUAACAAAUUAACUAAAACGAAUGUGUAGAAUUUUAAGCAACCAGUUAACAAGAAAGUUAAUCCUCUGACUGAAUAAAGUUGCAGGCAUUGAGUUUAGCAGCAUUAUUAACAAGGAAGAGCAUAAACCAUGCAACUCCAUCAUCAUGCAUGAGUGGUAUUUUUGGAAAUACAAACAUACCUGCAUAUGAGGGUCCUAAUUGUCAUGAAAAUCUAUAAGCAUCUUAAAAAAAAAAAAAAAAAUUCUCACUCAUAUAUCUGUUUCAAAUUUAUAUAGACAAUAAUCAAAGGGCUCAAUUACUAGUGCACCUUUGAAAGUGUGAAAAAAAUCUCAUCCUGCCUCUUGAAACUUAUUUUGAUCCAAUUUACUUACUUUUUAAAAUAUGUAAAUGUGUCUCAUUUUAUCGUAUAUUGUUGGUUUCAGUAAGUUUUUCUUCAAUGUCGGCUCACGUUAACGUGUCAUCCAUGUGUCAAAAGAUAGAGUACCUUUUUGUCUUUUCCGGUUCUCCAACUCAAUACAAGUCAGUUCUUCUCCUUCACUUCUUUAGCUCAUUUCACUCUCCCUUUCUAUCUCUCACUGAUUUCUAUCUCUUGGUCUUUUUGACUUUUGGCUAAAUAAUGUUUAAAAAGUAUGAGUUUUCACCUUUUUUAUAAUUUGUGAUUCUCUUGUCCACAUGUCAGUGAGAGAGUUAUGUUUAACUCAUAUAAAUGACAAGUUUGAUAUUCAGUUAUUACUUUCUUAUUGCGUGUCUUUAACCGCAAAUUCAUAUCUCAAUAAAGCGUGCAACAAAUCAAGUCUUACUGUAGUAUUUGAGAAACAUUAUAUGUUAAAAUUACAAAGCAAUCUUUUGUAUAAAUUAAGAUAAAAUAUUGUUCAGAUUAUCGAAUCACAUGCAUAAUUUCCCAGUGAUUCAUAUAAAACCUCAGCAAAGCCUUCUAUAAAUAACACUUCGUCUCUGGCAAUCUUCACACAAGCAUUAGCAAUCAAACGUGCUUUUCAAGGAAGGUAAUGAUAAGCUAAUUAACCUUGUUCGGCGACUGUUCUUGAACGAAAUGCGAUCUUUAGGACAUGAAUUGAAUCUCCAAAUUGGGGACAAACUUUUCACCCUCCCAAUGUCGAUGUAGUAAUCUAUCCCUGGAAAUUUGUUUACAUAAUCCUUGCCUCCCAUUAUAUAAAGUGACGGAACUUUAACAAUUAGAUUCGUCAAGCCGAAUUCUUCUCUAAGUGCCCUACCAAUACAUAACGUAAAGUUCAAGAAAUCAUUAACAUGUACUUACCACUUGAAUCCAAGUUAGCAGGGUUAAACUAAUUUCAAAUGAUAAGUCUGAUGAUUCGAUAAUAAUGUUUUUUUCAUUAACUCUUCUAGUAUGCGGAAGUAGUAGUGAUUCGAAGAUCAAAUGCGUUACCUAUACGGAAUGUGCAGUGCAGUUUGGAAGCCCGAUUUCUCAUACAGAGCUCCAUAUGCAGCAAGAUCUUCCUUGGUGAACCAAGGGGGAAGAGGGUCAAAUGGAUCCACCAAGUCCAUGAUCUCCUGGUUUUCUACAGCUAUUGGUAUUUUGCUUCUGGAGAAAAGGAUGUAAAUGUUCCAAACAACUGUUUUCGCAUCAAAGCGCCUGAAAUCAGCCUCUGCCCGGCCAGGUUCCUAUAGUAGUGGUAACAGUAAGUUGUAACUUGUAAGCAAGCUAGUCAUGGCAUAGAUAUGGACAACAAGACCAAGAAAAUACACACCUGCCAUCUUGAAAUGUAUAAGCCCUCAGGGAGCUUUUUAACGAAUUUUAGAAGGCCUAGUGGCACGAUUGGCACUCCGAUUGUUAUAACUCCCAAGACCCUAUCUAGGUACGCAAGGGCAAAUAAGUACGUUGGCCGACCUCCAAAAUUCUUUUCCCACGAGGAAAACCUACGUAAAAUUUAUGAUCAAACGUGUUACAUUGCAAUUCUCUUAAGCUUUUACUGCAUAAUAUGAUUAGCACAUAAGGAAAUAUAAGUGUUAUAAUCCUUCAAACAAUAAGCUUUUCAUUUGCCGGAUAAACAACAAAGCAAAUAAAUGCACGUUGUAGUGAUUUUACACUCUCAUUCUCCUACUACACUCUCCUGUUUUUUGUAUCCUUGAACUCUUCUUUGAUUUAUUCAAUCCAUUAUGAACAAAUGCGCGCAAAAAAUGGGAGUUUGGAAAUCACAAAUGUCAUCUUUACAACAAAUUGCUUUUUCAAUCAAACUUGUAAUAACAACCAAACAAUGAUUAAUGAAAAAAAGAACCAACUUUCAAAUUUGAAGCUCAUUUUCUAGCCAAAAUUUAAAAAAAAAAAGGCCAAAAAUUAAAAACAAAAAAGUGUAUCUGAAAAUUUUGUACCUUAGGAAUAGCAAGGGAAUCGAUAAUUCCAAAGACGCCACUGAUGAGGUCGCGGUAGGAGGCUUUGUCUGGUUGGGAAGGCGGGUCGGAGAGUUCGUGUCCGCGAUAGUCGGGAGCAAUGGCUCGGAAGCUGGAGUGGGCGAGACCAAUCAUUUGGUGCCGCCACGAGUACCAAAUUUCAGGGAAAUCAUGUUGUUUCCAUGCAGUUUCUCAAAAACCUAAAAAAAAAUCAGCGAGUCGACUCAGCGAGUUCACUAACUUUCCUAAAAUAGGCAAAACUGUUUCAAAUUGUGCAAGCUCUUUAAAUUCAGCGGCUUUUCAUGCUUUUGUCUGCCGCAAUUGGAUUAUCCAGAGAGAUUUGACUGCCGAAGCCCUCAGAUUUUUUCAGGUGAUUGAUUUAUUCUUCUUGUAGUUGCCCUUUGUUUGUUCGAAUACCACAAAUUUGACUACUUUCUUUGUAUUUCUUGCUGAGAUUUUUUGUUUUUUUUGGUUGGUUUUAAGAAUUAAAAUCGGUUAAUACUAAAUACCAUUUUGGGUUUUGAGCGAGAUCUGUUGUAAUGUGCAGAGAUUAAGAAUUAAUAUUGUCUGAAAUUCAGAAAUUGUAAUUCUGGGAUUUGGUUGUUUGAGCUAGAAAUUUUGGGAAUUUGAGCAAUGGGUGUUCAAUACAGUCCUAGGGUUUGAAAGGGGAUAUUGGUUUCAAGAAGGUUUUCGACACGUUACCAAUGUCUUGGGGUUAGUUUUGAGCUGGAAAUUUUGAUAAUUAAAGAAGUGGGUGUUCCAUGUACAAUCUUAGGGUUGAAAGGAGGUUUUUUUUGGGGGAAAUUUUUUCGAUUUGUUGCCAUUGUGUGAGUCGGUUUUGAGCUGGGAAUUUAGGGAGUUUAAGCAAUGGGUGUUCCAUAUACAGUGUUAGGGUUAAAAGGAGAUGUUGUUUUCGAGGAAUGACUUAGAUGGGUUCAUAGAGGAUGAAGUUGAGCACCUGAUAUAUCUUGUGUUUCUUCAGUGUGAAAUUGUGAAUUAUUAGCCGUCAUCAAAAUUGUUAGUAGCAGAUUAGAAUUUUUAGGUUUCAAAAUUUUUGUUACAAACUAAUGUGUUCACUAUCAAGUUGAAGUAGUUUUGAACCAACAGAUGGUAAUAAUAUGUUGAUGAUUUUAUCUUCUUUUCGAAUGCUGACAUUAUGAGUUAUUCAGGAAUGCGAGUAAAACACCAAAACAUACCACAAGGGACAUGGGAUAAUGGCAGAAUUAGAAAAUUUGCUCUUGGAGGCCGCGGGAAGAACAAGUUCAUCGGGGAAAAACCGACACUCACAUUCAUCAGCUAGGAGGAGACAUGGAGGUUCAUAUUCUGAUGGAGGAAGUGACUCCAGAGGUGAUGAUUUUGACGAUGGUUGUGGCUAUGCAAGCGGGAAGCCCUCUGGACCUCAAGUUCACUUGAAGAAGAGGCUGGACCCAACAGAAAUAGACGAUGAACAGGGUAGCCAGGAAGAAUGUGGUUAUAACGAUAGUGGUUCGGAUCGUGGGGGGGACAACAAUGAAUUUGAUGUUGGCAGUGAUCUUUUCAAGGAUGAAGAUGAUAGGCGGAAGCUUGCAGAGAUGUCUGAACUUCAAAGAGCUAAUUUUGUCUGAAAGAGCACAGAAGAAAGAUGACAAGAGCUUAAAGGAGAAGUUCCGACCAAAGUGGGAUAAAGGGAAGACCCUACAGUCCCGGAAAGAGACUCCACCUCUUCCAUCCUCUCGGGUGCGUUCAUCAGCUAGAUCUGCUGACAGGGCAGCUGCCAAGGAUGAUGCAUUGAAUGAGUUACGAGCAAAACGUUUGAAGCAGCAGGACCCCUGAGGCUCACCACAAGUUGAAAGAUGCUUCUAGAGGAGGAAGUUCAAGCAGUCGAAGUUUCUAAAGCAUAAUUUUGAGCUGCCAAUAUCAUUGGUUGCUCUUCAGAAGUUUGGCAGGCCAUAGGGUGCUCAGAAAGGGUUCCUGGAGAAGACGGGAUGAGGCAUGCGCUGACGCUUACAGUUGGCGACUACAUGAGAAAAUUAGGGCUUCUCUAAACAUAUUAUAACCUUAAAUGCGUUAAAAAGUUGAAUUAAAUCACCACAGAAACAAGAAAGUUCAAACAAAGAGAACAUAUUACAAACAGAUCAAGGCACGCAAAAAAAUACAGACUCUAUCUACAAACUAGCUGAUAAAACCAGAAAGUUUACUAGCUUACACAGUCGUCGUCGUCGUCAUCAUCCUCAUCAUUAGCAUCACCGUCUUGGUCCUCCUCAUCAAAAUCCUCAUUGUCGUUGUCAUCAUCCUCAUCAAAAUCAUCUUCAUAUUCAUCAUCAAAAUCAUCAACUUCAGUAAAAGCUUCUUCUAUGGCCCGUUCGUAAGGGAUAGAAUGGUAAAGAAAUAACGAACCUUCGAAAGUCAUAAGUUUGUCGCAUACUAAACGUACCCCUAUUUUCUUCACCACGGUAGUUGGACAAUGUACAAUAACAUGAACCAAAUCGCCUUCUUCCAAAUUGAACUCAGUUUCCGACAACGAAAAAUUUCCAAGGCAAAGGAUUUCUUGAAAGGAAAAAACAUGUCCUAUACAGACAUAAAAACUAGUACCCUUGGUGUGAUUAAUAACAUAAAUAAAAGACGCCCGCUCAAAAUCAAUCGAGCUAACGUCAUCAUAAGGAACCAAAGCCAGGCACACAGCUAACGUUUUUGCAUUACAACCAAUUUCAUUAGGCACUUCAAAAGAGACUUGGGUACCUUCGUUGACAUAAUUGAACCAAGUGGGAAUUUGUCUUCCUACAAGAUUCAUAUAUCCACUUCCUGUCCAUCCCUAUACCAUGUUGAACAAGAUUUGUGUGAGUAAUACAUACAUAACAAAUAACACACAUAUUUGCGAGGGAGGGAGGAGGGGGGUGGUGGUGUGGAAGAGAGAGAGAGUACCUGUAGCGUGUUAUCCUUAAGAAGGAAAUCUAUGACAUUGUUGUGUGUGAACAUAUGAAGUUUGAGGCCCGAGUUUAACGCGCUAUCCAAGCCUGGAAACUCAAUGAGUUUGGGGGAACCAAGAGACACGGAUGUCGACAUGCCUGAAAAAUCUGGCAUUCUUUCUAAUGCAGAGCAGUCGUCCAUCUCCAGGAUAUCCAAACUUUUUGGUAAAUCUGUGAUCUCGACAAGGUUUCUGCAGCCAUUCAAUUUUAGUGCAUGAAGCAUGGAGAGGUCACUGAGGCUUGGAAGGCUCCGAAAAUUAUUGUUAUCUAGAAAUAAGUACACUAAACAAGGUAGACUACUCCCAACAUCAUUAGGCACUUCCAUUAAAUUGCUGUCUACCAAUUGUAAAUCUGUUAAAAAGUGUAAGCCUCGUAAGGAAG